GCCCCCAUAGUUUAAUGGUUAGAACAUCGGUCUCAUAGCUCGCUUAGGCGUUAUGAUCGUGUGCAAAACAUGCGGAUAUCCGGUGAUCCAAGUUCGAUUCUUGGUGGAGUACG